rnacentral:rRNA from 1 species
GACGAACGCUGGCGGCGUGCUUAACACAUGCAAGUCGAACGGAAAGGCCCUGCUUUUGUGGGGUGCUCGAGUGGCGAAAGGGUGAGUAACACGUGAGUAACCUGCCCUUGACUUUGGGAUAACUUCAGGAAACUGGGGCUAAUACCGGAUAGGAGCUCCUGCUGCAUGGUGGGGGUUGGAAAGUUUCGGCGGUUGGGGAUGGACUCGCGGCUUAUCAGCUUGUUGGUGGGGUAGUGGCUUACCAAGGCUUUGACGGGUAGCCGGCCUGAGAGGGUGACCGGCCACAUUGGGACUGAGAGACGGCCCAGACUCCUACGGGAGGCAGCAGUGGGGAAUAUGGCACAAUGGGCGGGAGCCUGAUGCAGCAACGCCGCGUGCGGGAUGACGGCCUUCGGGUUGUAAACCGCUUUCGCCUGUGACGAAGCGUGAGUGACGGUAAUGGGUAAAGAAGCACCGGCUAACUACGUG